UACGUAGGGUGCGAGCGUUAAUCGGAAUUACUGGGCGUAAAGCGCGCGCAGGCGGUCCUUUAAGUCUGAUGUGAAAGCCCACGGCUCAACCGUGGAGGGUCAUUGGAAACUGGGGGACUUGAGUACAGAAGAGAAGAGUGGAAUUCCACGUGUAGCGGUGAAAUGCGUAGAGAUGUGGAGGAACACCAGUGGCGAAGGCGGAUCUCUGGGCCUUACCUGACGCUCAGGUGCGAAAGCUAGGGGAGCGAACAGG
rnacentral:rRNA from 1 species